AACGAACGCUGGCGGCAGGCCUAACACAUGCAAGUCGAACGCCGUAGCAAUACGGAGUGGCAGACGGGUGAGUAACACGUGGGAACGUACCCUUCGGUUCGGGAUAACUCAGGGAAACUUGAGCUAAUACCGGAUACGUCCGAGAGGAGAAAGAUUUAUCGCCGAGGGAUCGGCCCGCGUCUGAUUAGCUUGUUGGUGAGGUAACGGCUCACCAAGGCGACGAUCAGUAGCUGGUCNGAGAGGAUGAUCAGCCACAUUGGGACUGAGACACGGCCCAAACUCCUACGGGAGGCAGCAGUGGGGAAUAUUGGACAAUGGGCGCAAGCCUGAUCCAGCCAUGCCGCGUGAGUGAUGAAGGCCCUAGGGUUGUAAAGCUCUUUUA
rnacentral:rRNA from 1 species